rnacentral:rRNA from 1 species
UUCUGGCUCAGAACGAACGCUGGCGGCGUGCUUAACACAUGCAAGUCGCACGAGAGGCACCCGCAAGGGUGUAGUAAAGUGGCGCACGGGUGCGUAACACGUAAAUGAUCUACCCAAUAGAUGCGGACAACCAGUCGAAAGAUUGGCUAAUUCGCAAUAAGCUCACGAGACUAUGGUUUUGUGAGGAAAGCAGCCCUCUGAUAAUAAGGUUGCGCUAAUGGAUGAGUUUGCGGCCCAUCAGGUAGUUGGUAGGGUAAUGGCCUACCAAGCCAAUGACGGGUAGCUGGUCUGAGAGGACGAUCAGCCACACUGGGACUGAAACACGGCCCAGACUCCUACGGGAGGCAGCAGUGGGGAAUAUUGGACAAUGGGGGAAACCCUGAUCCAGCGACGCCGCGUGGAGGAAGAAGGCUUUCGGGUUGUAAACUCCUGUCAAUUGGGACGAAGGUUUUGUAGUGAAUAACUGCAAGGUUUGACGGUACCAAAGAAGGAAGCACCGGCUAACUCCGUGCCAGCAGCCGACGG